UACGGAGGGUGCAAGCGUUAUCCGGAUUCACUGGGUUUAAAGGGUGCGUAGGCGGGUUGGUAAGUCAGUGGUGAAAUCUUCAAGCUUAACUUGGAACUGCCGUUGAUACUAUCAAUCUUGAAUAUUUGUGGAGGUAAGCGGAAUAUGUCAUGUAGCGGUGAAAUGCUUAGAUAUGACAUAGAACACCGAUAGCGAAGGCAGCUUGCUACACAAUAAUUGACGCUGAGGCACGAAAAGCGUGGGGGAUCAAAACAGG
rnacentral:rRNA from 1 species